CCUACGGGAGGCAGCAGUGGGGAAUAUUGCACAAUGGGGGGAACCCUGAUGCAGCAAUGCCGCGUGGGUGAAGAAGCACUCCGGUGCGUAAAGCCCUGUCAGCAGGGAAGAAAAUGACAGUACCUGGACAAGAAGCCCCGGCUAACUACGUGCCAGCAGCCGCGGUAAUACGUAGGGGGCAAGCGUUAUCCGGAUUUACUGGGUGUAAAGGGAGCGCAGGCGGCGUGGCAAGUCAGAUGUGAAAACCCGGGGCCCAACCCCGGGAGUGCAUUUGAAACUGCCAUGCUGGAGUGCCGGAGAGGUAAGCGGAAUUCCUAGUGUAGCGGUGAAAUGCGUAGAUAUUAGGAGGAACACCAGUGGCGGAGGCGGCUUACUGGACGGUAACUGACGCUGAGGCUCGAAAGCGUGGGGAGCAAACAGGAUUAGAUACCCCAGUAGUC
rnacentral:rRNA from 1 species